rnacentral:rRNA from 1 species
ACCUCCAAUAGCGUAUAUGAAUGUUGCUGCGUUUAAAAAGUUCGUAGUUGGAUCUGAGUCUGGAUCGUGCAGUCCGUCUUCGGAUGAUAUUGCACGAAUCGGACAUACGUUCACUUUGAAAAAAUCAGAGUGCUCAAAGCAGGCAGCCGCCUGAAUUGUUAUGCAUGGAAUGAUGGAAUAGGACCUCGGUUCUAUUUUGUUGGUUUCCGGAGGUAAUGAUUAUUAGGGACGGACGGGGGCAUUUGUGUUGCGACGGGAGAGGUGAAAUUCUUAGAUCGUCGCAAGACAAGCUACAGCGAAAGCAUUUGCCAAGAAUGUUUUCA